GGCCUGAUUUCGCGACUGACACUCAGGGACGAGAGCCAGGGGAGCGAAUGGGAUUAGAUACCCCAGUAGUCCUGGCCGUAAACGAUGGAUACCAAGCCCUGCGCGUAUCGACCCGGGCAGGGCUGUAGCUAACGCAUGAAGUAUCCCGCCUGGGGAGUACGCUCGCAAGAGUGAAACUCAAAGGAAUUGACGGGAGCCCGCACAAGCGGUGGAGCAUGUGGUUUAAUUCGAUGCAACGCGAAGAACCUUACCAGGGCUUGACAUGCCGCGAACCCCCCUGAGAGGGGGGGGUGCCUUCGGGAGCGCGGACACAGGUGGUGCAUGGCUGUCGUCAGCUCGUGUCGUAAGAUGUUGGGUUCAGUCCCGCAACGAGCGCAACCCCCGUCUCUAGUUGCCCACAAUUCGGCACCCUAGAGAGACCGCCGGUGUUAAGCCGGAGGAAGGUGGGGAUGAGGUCAAGUCAACAUGCCCCUUUUGCCCUGGGCGACACACGUGCUACAAUGGCCGGGACAAAGAGAUGCGACCCCGCAAGGGCCAGCCUGACCUCGUAAACCCGGCCUCAGUUCGGAUUGUAGGCUGCAACCCGCCUACAUGAAGGAGGAAUCGCUAGUAAUCACCGGUCAGCCAUACGGUGGUGAAUCCGUUCCCGGGCUUUGCACACACCGCCCGUCACACUAUGGGAAUCGGCCAUGCCCCAAGUCGUUACCCCAACCCGUAGGGAGGGGGAUGCCAAAGGCAGGG
rnacentral:rRNA from 1 species